rnacentral:rRNA from 1 species
CAUUGAGCCUUGAUGUGUAGGAUAGGUGGGAGGCUUAGAAGUGUGGACGCCAGUCUGCAUGGAGCCGACCUUGAAAUACCACCCUUUAAUGUUUGAUGUUCUAACGUUGACCCGUAAUCCGGGUUGCGGACAGUGUCUGGUGGGUAGUUUGACUGGGGCGGUCUCCUCCUAAAGAGUAACGGAGGAGCACGAAGGUUGGCUAAUCCUGGUCGGACAUCAGGAGGUUAGUGCAAUGGCAUAAGCCAGCUUGACUGCGAGCGUGACGGCGCGAGCAGGUGCGAAAGCAGGUCAUAGUGAUCCGGUGGUUCUGAAUGGAAGGGCCAUCGCUCAACGGAUAAAAGGUACUCCGGGGAUAACAGGCUGAUACCGCCCAAGAGUUCAUAUCGACGGCGGUGUUUGGCACCUCGAUGUCGGCUCAUCACAUCCUGGGGCUGAAGUAGGUCCCAAGGGUAUGGCUGUUCGCCAUUUAAAGUGGUACGCGAGCUGGGUUUAGAACGUCGUGAGACAGUUCGGUCCCUAUCUGCCGUGGGCGCUGGAGAACUGAGGGGGGCUGCUCCUAGUACGAGAGGACCGGAGUGGACGCAUCACUGGUGUUCGGGUUGUCAUGCCAAUGGCACUGCCCGGUAGCUAAAUGCGGAAGAGAUAAGUGCUGAAAGCAUCUAAGCACGAAACUUGCC